AGCUUCUACAAUUUGCUUGUAAAAGAACGACGUAAAUGUUGUUCAUAAUUACCAAAUCUUAAUAAACUUUUUGUCAACAUUAACUAUUUUAGUGAUAGAAUCUUUUAUUUUGAUUUUCAAGUAUCAUUGCAAGCGCAAGCCAGGUGCCGUUCAACUAUACAACAAUUGUCCGUAUCGAGUGAAUAUUGCAAGUGUCGCGUCAGUAAAUUGUUGGAAAAAUGCGUGUAACCUCUAAGAUUUCCAUAUUGUGUUUACUAGUCGUAUUUUUUGCACUGUCCACGAGUGCUGGUCCACUGACUAGGCCAGUAUUGUCUAGUUCGACAUUCAAAGACGAAAAUGGACGGAUCGUCUCACAAGUAAAGAAACACGUCGCUGAAAUAUGUACUUGUCAACGAUUUGAACGUACGGAUGUGCCUACCGUGACGACGACGUUCAAAGGCCCAGAUGGAUUCCCUGUCACACAAAUUAAGGACAACGUCGUUGAAACAUGUUCUUGUCGACCCGUUGACGACGUUUCCGGACAAACUUUCAAUGUUUCUAUGGUCGACACAACCACAACCAAACAACCACCGCACAGUGGGAGCAAUUAAACGUUUAGCUGCUCAAUAAUAUUGGGUACAUGAAAAAAACCAGAAAAGUCAGUUUUUUUUAGUCUAGUAAUAUCAUGUUUAAAAAAAUUUAAUAAAAAAAGCUUAUAAGAAAAUAAUUAAAAAUGGCUACAAUCUAAAUCGUUAUUAAAAAGGGGCAGAUUUGACCAACUUUCUGAUAUACUAUUAUUACACUUAAUUAU